AGCCUUCUGUAUCCGUGCUGGGAUUUCGUCACACACAAGGGCUGAUGAGACUUCCCAGAUACGUGAAGCG
rfam:Schistosoma mattheei strain Denwood, Zambia genome assembly, scaffold: SMTD_scaffold0000020